AAGAGACACUGGAUAACAAUAAGGAGGAGGUUAGCCUGGCCCUAACUAAGCCACUCAACAACAGGAACAAUGGCCGAAAAAGAAUCUACAUUAUCACACUUUAUGGUUCCAAUUCUUCUCCUGAUUGGCUGGAUUGUGGGAUGCAUCGUAAUGAUUUAUGUUGUCUUCUCUUAGAAACGCAAGAAGAUUUCAGAGUGCACUGACACCAUGUAGAAGAAUUAAGAAAAGCAUAGACAUGACUGAUUAUUAAACGUGUUUCAUGUUAAGUAACUGCAAUGUCUGACAUCAUUUCGUACGCUUGGAUUGUGAGCUGCAGGCUCGGUGUGCACGAGAAUUUCUUCAGGAGUUUGUGUAAAAUUAAGGGGUCGUGCUGUGUUGCUCAGGCUGGUCUUGAAUUCCUGGGCUCAAUCAAUUCUCCUGCCUCAGCCUCCUGAAUAGAUAGGACUACAGGUGCAUGACAUCUGCCAUGCUAG